rnacentral:rRNA from 1 species
UACAGGGGGGGCAAGCGUUGUUCGGAAUUACUGGGCGUAAAGGGCUCGUAGGUGGCCAACUAAGUCAGACGUGAAAUCCCUCAGCUUAACUGGGGAACUGCGUCUGGAUACUGGAUGGCUUGAGUUUGGGAGAGGGAUGCGGAAUUCCAGGUGUAGCGGUGAAAUGCGUAGAUAUCUGGAGGAACACCGGUGGCGAAGGCGGCAUCCUGGACCAACACUGACACUGAGGAGCGAAAGCCAGGGGAGCAAACGGG